rnacentral:lncRNA from 1 species
GUUCACCUUCUUGCGCCUGGUGAACGAAGGGGCAGGGCGGGUAGGUCUCAGGUCAAACAUCGCAUCUGCAAUCGAAGAAAAAAUGUUGAUCAAAGAUCAAGCAGCGAACAAAAACGCCAGUAAUGAACAGUGUUCAGAUGAAGUAAACAAGCGCAACGUGAUUACCAGAAGGUUCCAGGAAAACAUGGGUCGCACCAAAGCGGGUGUAGACAGGGUCCUGCUUGAGCCUCAUCCUGGAGCACUGCCUGAAGAAAGGAAAUAAAACGAUUGGACAGUCAGAAACAGGAACCAGAUCAAAUGGAGAGGAAACCCAAUCAGAUGAGUGACUUGCUCCGUAUCGAACAUGCAUGAAUCGAACGAAACUACACGGUUUGCAACAACAAACCAAAACUAACAAGGAAAAUAACCUCGGAUCCAAGGAAACACACCAACGAAACCCUUCUGUGCUUGCAAGAGAUGCUAAUCCGAGACGAAAUCGGUUCACCGCACCAGCUAAUCGGGGAGAAACACGCCUGGAUCCAACGUUUUUUUGACACACGCGAGACGAGGUAGUCGGUCUUCCGCGAAAAAAUCAGAUCAAAACGCAGCGAGUACGGGAGGAAAUCCUGUCAUCAGAAGCCAUGUUCGGGGGAAACACUCUUGGAUCCAACGAUGAAGAGGAAAUCGAACAACUGGAUGCCCUCUUCGGGGGAAACCCCGCUCAGAUCCAACGGUAAAACCAGGCGAAACGAGAUCGGUUUUCCUAAAGACAUGAGAUGAAAACGCAGCGAAUUCGAGAGAAAACAGGUGCCAUCACAUGCCAUUUUGGGGGAAAACAGGCUUGCACCCGGCGAUGAACAGCGAAAUCGAACGACUAGAGGCCAUCUACGGGGGGAAACUCGCCCGGAUCCAACGGCAAAACCAAACGAAACGAGAUCGGUUUUCCUAGGAGACAUCAGAUCAGAACGUAGCCCGCGAAUUCGAGAGAAAACCGUGGCACCAGACGCCACGUUGGGGGAAAACAGGCUUGAACCCGAUGAUGAACACCCAAAUCGAACAACUAGAGGCCAUCUACGGGGGAAAACUCGCUCGGAUCCAACGGGCUUCGAAGAACAACAGAUCAAAUCUAAGACGUUGAGAACCAGAAAGGGGAUCGGGAACGCUGGCUUGCAUCCCCUACCUUGGGGUUGCUCCAGCGAAGCUACGGGAGGUGGUGGUGGUGGUGGUGGUGGGGAGGGGUGGAGAGGAAACGGAUCUGGAUGUGGGGAGGGGGAGGCGGCGGGGCGGAGCGGAGGGGAGAAGAAAGGGCAGGGCGCUUAUAUAUGGUGCGAACCCUAACGCCCGGCGCAAUUUCGGUUUUCCUUCACUUUUCUUAAAUUUCACCUGUGUGUUUUUUAUCUCGCUGCACUUAUCGUUUGUGUGGCUACUGGGUCUUAAAUUUCACCGGUGUGAUUUUCCUUCACUUUUCUUAAAUUUCAUCAGUGCUGCUCAGUUCUUUCUUAACCUUCUACUAUCAUUUUUUUUCUGGUGGGCGUGUGUCGGGCUUUCAUGUGUUUUCUGCUCGGUUCUUUUGAGCACGGAGGAUGGAGUCAUCCCCGUCGGCGAGCGCUCGCCGACAAGGGGCUGGCGGGAGGUCAGGGCCUCAUGGAGCGAGGGCAACUGCUGCCGAGCAGCUCUGAGAAGAGGGAGGCUAGCUAUUGUGGAGCAGCGGGAGGAGAGAGGGAAGGUGGUACCGAGAGGAGGGCGGCGGAACUUUUCGUUAGGGGUGCCAGUAGCAAGUGCUCAUUGAAGAGGUCGGAAUCAGUCAUCGUCGGCGGUCAGGCAGAAGGUACAGCGAGUUAUUACUCCUGCCCCGGCUCUCAUCUCCUUGAGUUAAUUUUGGGAUGGCAAUGGGUACCCAUUACAUACGUAUCUGAUUUCGUGGUUGGCCAAAAGAUUUCGUUGAGCCGGUCGAAGUUCGUCCACCCCACCCGCGACCAGCGCUCGCCAUCGGGGCCGGAUUUUUUUGGCUGUGCACACGUCGAACGACAACCGGAGGGAUCUCAAUAUUUUCGCGGGAGGGUGCUAGAUUGCAGCGGAGGGAAAACGGGGUUUUGUCAGAUGCGAACCCUAAAAGGGAUUUGUAUGAUACUCCCAUUUUUUGUAGAUGAUACACUUAAUUAGACACCUCAUGUAAUAAAUAUAAGCAUUGAUGCUUUCGAAAACUUGAUUUAUUUUUGCACAUUUCUAAGCACCUUGUAUUAUACAAGGUCUUACAUGCUUCGCUAAGGCUGAUUGUAAUGGGUAGUAUCAUAAGUUAGUAUGAUAUACUACCUCUCUAAUGCAUAGUAUCAUAUAUUAGUAUUAUAGAUGACUUUAUUUAUUACCAUACAUGACACAUAGUAGUAUAAUAUUUAUUAUGAUACAGUAUCAUGAUAUGAUAUACUUAACCAUCUCUUUCUUUAUUUAAUUAUGUGUUACGUCGUCAAAAUUGUCUAAUUGAUAUGCAUGAUACUAACUAUGAUAUUAACUAGGAGUCCCUAGUAAAGACAAAUUACUCUUUCCCACAAAUUUGAGUAGAUCGAGCUUUUUAUGAACUGCCCUGCUAAUGGAUCCCUAGUAAAUUUCUACAUAGAUAAACCAUCAAAUCCGUCAAUCCUAAUGACAUGAUUGUUAGUAAAUUUCUAUACAGGUAAACCAUCAAAUCCGUCAAUCCUAAUGACCAUGAUUGUCUUCAUGUGCUUUUAAAAACUCGCAUUAAAAAGAACAUCUAAAAUAAUUAAACUAUGAUCUGCAAUGCUCAAAAAUUGUUGAAAUAAGUCAAUAGAAGAAUCACAAUAAUCUUUUUUGCAUAGUAAUCACAAUCAUUUCUUACUAACCUCUAUAUGAAGCGCAAGUGAACGACGGCGAGACCAAACUUUGGAACAUGACGACAACAUCCUUCUCUUAGAUCCGACAACCGGAGAAGCUAAAGCAGCCACCCACACCAUUAGCCACACCUACAAAAUAGAGCAAUCAAUUUUGCGUCAAUGAGAUCCUCGUACGUGCUUUCGUGUUCAUGUAUUCGAAACAUAGAUGCACAAUACGUUGUAUGGUAAAAGCUUGCUGACAUGGAGAAAGAGAAAACAAAGUUUUCUUAAGGAAAUAGAACGAAGAUAGAGAAAGGCAAAAGGAGCGGGGGGCGCUAGUGGUAUGGACCCCGUGGACACAAAAUCUGGCCCCUCAAACUGGUCACGUCUCAAAAUUUGUUUUGCACAACCGGAUGGACAUGUCAUUGGACUAUCAAAAAUCGACAUGUUGUACCUACAUCCUAGCUAGCUAUGGGCAGAGAUCAUGGACGGCUGCCCUUACACUUCCCGACGCCUUUGUCGUCUUUCUCGCGGCAGUAGCACUCGAAAACACAAAAUGGAUCUGGCUGGAUCUACUCAUCGCCGGAGUUGUCUGGCAUGUCGUUGUCCUCCUUCUCCUGCUUGAGGGGUAGUCCAACCAUGGCGCGUACCGCCCUAUUUUGCUCCCGGAUGAGGGCGCACGUGUUCCUCCUCUGUCGUUUUUGUAGGAUGUGAGCAUGAAUGACCUCCUCCUCUGCGGCGACGUGCGCGGUCGCACCCGUCGCCUCUAUCUAUGUUGAUGGCAAGACGGACAUCGACCACCCUCAUCCACCCUUCUUCCCACGGCGGGCGCACCAGUCUCUUUAGCAUUCAAACUCCGACGCACCGGAGAUGGGAGGCUAAUGGACCGCGAUACCCCAGCCCAGACGGAUCCGAAUGCCCAUUGCCCUACAACAAUGGAUUUGCGUCGGAUAAAUCCNNNNNNNNNNNNNNNNNNNNNNNNNNNNNNNNNNNNNNNNNNNNNNNNNNNNNNNNNNNNNNNNNNNNNNNNNNNNNNNNNNNNNNNNNNNNNNNNNNNNNNNNNNNNNNNNNNNNNNNNNNNNNNNNNNNNNNNNNNNNNNNNNNNNNNNNNNNNNNNNNNNNNNNNNNNNNNNNNNNNNNNNNNNNNNNNNNNNNNNNNNNNNNNNNNNNNNGUGGUGUAGACCGGCGAAGGCGAAGACCCAGCCGCCCACGCUGGAAAUGGCGACGGGAAGGGUGGGAACCGGACCUGAUGAAUCGGGAGGCCGGUUGGCGAGGGUGCCCCUGAGCUAGGCAGGGGCGGCGCCGGUGGUUGUAGCGUCGGUGGCGGGGGGUGGGCGGGGGCGUCGGUGUCCCGCCUGGAACGGCAGAAGCGCAGUGCAAGUCGGCGUCGUCGUCAUCGGCGCGGUGGAGCCGCUGGAAAACGCCGGCGAUGGUGGUGGCAGCGACAUGAUCGGAACUUGGUCUCUGAUUACCAAAUUGGUAGGACUAGGGUUCCUACCGGCUCUACUCCUUAGGUUAUAAGGGCAGAACAGCGGAGGUUGAGGGCGAGGACGCGAGCUCCGGCGCGACGGCGCGCCGUCGCGAGGAAGGAGGAGGGCGGCGACGGUUAGGGCUGGAGGCGGCUAGGGUUCCGGCUCCUCUGGGAGCCGGGCAAUAGGGAUAGAAAAUAUCUUUAUUGCUUGAUUCCGAAAAGAGUCUUACAGCCUAUAUUUAUAACCUAGAUAACUUGCAUAAUAAUUAACCUAAGAUAACUUGUGGGCCAAGCCCCUAACUACUGCCCGGUGGGCCUCCUCCGGUUAUAAGCUAAACCGGUCAUAACAUCGCGGGAGAGGUAGAGGGCAAUGCCGAUGGCUAUUUCCUCCUCCACCUCGAAUGGUACGACAUCCCAGUCAAUGAAUCCAGAGUGGUCGAAGUCAGAUCCGCUGCUCGUCAUGCCGAAGAAGGCCGGAGAUCGCCGAAAAGGAGCUUGGGGACGGAGCAGAGCGAAGUGGAGUGGCUAGAGUUCUGUCCAGAGAGCGAAUGAGGAUGAAUAUACAUGGGGUCGAGACCAUAUUUAGAAUGGAUAUCAUGGGUGCCGAUCAGGCCGGAUGUUUUGGGCUGGUUUGAGGCACCGGUCUCUAACUUGGGUGUUGAGAACAUCCUCAUGCAAAUAAUCACAUGUGGCAAACUAGGAGUGGAGGGGGGGACCAUCCAGAGAGCCCCGUUUGCAUAGAAGGGUGUCUAAGGGGGUGUUUGGUUCCACGGAUUUUUUUGUGUUGGGAUUAGAAAAAGUCCCUAGCAAACCAAACAGGGUGAGACUUUUUUUAAGACUUUUUGCUAAAAGUCCUUAGAAGCACCUCCUUAAGAGUCUUUUUUUUAAGUUCUAGGGACUAGAAAAAGUCUUAGGACUAGAGAACCAAACGUCACCUAAUUUGUUCUUUCCUGAUUCUAUGUUGCCAUGGGGGAGAAACCGAAAAACAAAAAGAGGAAGCAAGGAGAGAACCAAAGGGAGUCUGGCUAUGUGUGGACAAGAGGAUCGCGACAGUUUCCAAAAAUGAAUACUCCUUAAUGCUAAUCUUUGGGUCCACGCUGUCUUGUAUCGUGACGGAGCACAUAUUUUACGUACUCCAAUUUGUAGUUUCCCACGACCACGAUAGAUUGCUAGCCACCAACAGAUCAGGUUCCAAAAAAGGCCAUUGCAGCCUUGCCGCGUUACCUGUGAACUUGUGAACCUUUGAGUAUGCUCAGUCGUUAUAACAACUAUAUUAUGAUGGUGAUUUUGCUAAAAAAGUAUACUGUAGCGGAAUCGCCAUAAUUUAUGUAGUAUCCUUCUUAUUUGGCCUCCCGGUCGCCAUGUAUGGUGCAUCGGGACCUUUUGGAGCGUGCUCCAUAUGUCAUAUGUUAGUUACGUGUAGUUUCAUGUGACGGGAAGAAAACAUUGGGUGCGCUACCCACCAACUUGGACGCACAUGAAUACUCAAAAAAAAGAAGAAAAAAACUUGGACGCACAUGAACCCUCACACCUCACUCUGUGCGUCCGGUUUCUUCGGUUUACAUGGUUCGGUUUAUACGGUGUUUUGGUUUGUAUAGUAUUAAUACUUCGGUAAAUAUGGUAUGAAAUUAUAAUACGAUUCGGUUUCGAUAUAUACCAAAUUAUUUUGGUAUGGUUUCGGUAUGUACCAUAAUAACCAAAGUUGACGCGAAUUUGAAAGUGACGUAAUAAUAAUUUACAAAUGUAUGACUCAAAACACAUACUGUUUUACACAAAUAGUAUAUAACUAUAUAUAAUAUAUAUGCAUGCAUAGAUUCAUCUCUUGAUGGUUAUGGACGUGCUUAGUAUUUUUUAAAGAGAAAGAUAACUAUGUUACAGGAAAAUGUACGUGCUUAGUAGUGAAUUUGACUCAUGUACAAGAAAAAUGACAACUUGUAUUGUUGUUCGCCUCAAGAAAUAUAAAUUUAUGUUUUACUUUGGUUUAUUCGAUUAACCGUUUUGGUUUUUCAGUAUAUACCAUAAAAGCCAAAGUUCAUACCGUACCGAAACCAGAAACCAUAAAAACCGUAAAAUUGGUUUGGUUCGGUUUAUUUUCGAUAUAGUUUUUUGGUUAGGUUUCAAAAUGCACGGAGUGUCACACCGGAACCGGUCAACCUCCUUCUUGCCCUCUGUCGGUGACAUCGCGGCGUCAUGGAUUGGUAGCGUCAUCCCAAAUCCAGUCGCUUACUCAUAAAUUGCGAGUAUAGUCCAACUAAUAAAUGUCAACUCCAAUGGGAUUCCCUUGUCUUAUUAGUUCAUACUACCCCAUGAAGAAUAACCAUGUACUAGAAGGGUUGGGCGUGCUUUGUUGCAUUGUUCGUGUUGUUGGUUUUCAUAAUUUUUCUACUUCCUCUGUUUCAAAAUACAAGGUGUAUUAAUUUUUUAUAAAAUUCAUACCUCUUUUAAGUUUGACCAAAUUUAUAGAUAAAUUUAUCAAUAUUCAUAUGAUAUCAAAUCGGUCUCAUUAGAUUCAUCAUAAAACAAAAUUUCAUAUUUUAUUUAUUUAUUUAUUUAUUGCGAGGAACAUACUUUAUUUAUUUAGCAUCGUGCAUGUCGAUGUCGAAAUCAUGAACCAAAUCCAAAAUUAAAUACCUCAAUCCGUGAUAACUCCAAAACUAGAGAGCAUAAUUUAUUUAUAGAUAGUAAAUGGUUAAAAGGGUAAAUCCUAGUUAAUGGCACAUAAUCCCAAGGAUCUUGACGCCUCAUUAAUUAGUACUCCCUCCGUAUCAAAAUAUAAGACGGCAAAAAAAAAAGUCUUAUCGGUAAAAAUCGGAAACAAAAGGAACAAACGAAGUAUUCAGCCUCGUUAAUAACGGAAAAAUAAGUCGACUAUAAAAAAAUUAAGUUUCAAUAGUAAUUACCUAUGUGGUAGUCGGACUUUGCAGCGCCAAGAUCCAAGUCAAAAUCAGCACACAUGGCGUGAAUCUCUGUAGCCUGAUUUAGAAGGCGUCGAAUUCCUUUAGGCCUUGCUCAACCUGGUCUGGAUUAAAGAGGGUCGAGGGAGAUUAAGUCCCCGUUCGAGAAUCCACCGCUCCGUUGGACGGAGAAUCGACCACCGCCCCAUCGGCGCGGCGCACCUGGUAGGAUUGAAUCGUGGUAGAGAUGGCAUGGUUGCGAUGCAGGAGCGACGAAAAUAAAGAUCUGAAAGAGAGAGA